UCCGGCUUGUCACCGGCAGUCUCCUUAGAGUUCCCAACUAAAUGAUGGCAACUAAGGACAAGGGUUGCGCUCGUUGCGGGACUUAACCCAACAUCUCACGACACGAGCUGACGACAGCCAUGCAGCACCUGUCUCUCGGUUCCCGAAGGCACCAAGUCAUCUCUGACAAGUUCCGAGGAUGUCAAGGGUAGGUAAGGUUCUUCGCGUUGCAUCGAAUUAAACCACAUGCUCCACCGCUUGUGCGGGCCCCCGUCAAUUCAUUUGAGUUUUAACCUUGCGGCCGUACUCCCCAGGCGGUCAACUUCACGCGUUAGCUGCGCCACCAAAACCCGAAGGCCCCGACGGCUAGUUGACAUCGUUUACAGCGUGGACUAC
rnacentral:misc_RNA from 1 species